UGGGGAAUAUUGGACAAUGGGCGCAAGCCUGAUCCAGCAAUGCCGCGUGUGUGAAGAAGGCCUUCGGGUUGUAAAGCACUUUUAUCAGGAGCGAAACGCUGUCGGCUAAUACCCGGCGGAACUGACGGUACCUGAGGAAUAAGCACCGGCUAACUUCGUGCCAGCAGCCGCGGUAAUGCGAAGGGUGCAAGCGUUAAUCGGAAUUACUGGGCGUAAAGCGUGCGUAGGCGGUUUCUUAAGUCUGCUGUGAAAUCCCCGGGCUCAACCUGGGAAUGGCAGUGGAUACUGGGAGGCUAGAGUGUGUCAGAGGGUGGUGGAAUUCCCGGUGUAGCGGUGAAUGCGUAGAGAUCGGGAGGAACAUCAGUGGCGAAGGCGGCCACCUGGGACAACACUGACGCUGAGGCACGAAAGCGUGGGGAGCAAACAGGAUUAGAUACCCUGGUAGUCCACGCCCUAAAGCGAUGCGAACUGGAUGUUGGUCUCAACUCGGAGAUCAGUGUCGAAGCUACGCGUUAAGUUCGCCGCCUGGGGAGUACGGUCGCAAGACUG
rnacentral:rRNA from 1 species